AACGCACAUUGCGCCCUGUGGUAUUCCGCAGGGCAUGCCUGUUCGAGCGUCAGUACAACACUCAAGCUUAGCUUGGUCUUGAGCCCCGCGGUCACCCGCAGGCUUUAAAAUUAGUGGCGGCGCCAUCUGGCUCUCAGCGUAGUAAUUAACCUCUCGCUUUUGAGUCCUGGUGGACGCUGGCCAGCAACCCCCAACUUUCUAAGUUUGACCUCGGAUCAGGUAGGGAUACCCGCUGAACUUAA
rnacentral:misc_RNA from 1 species